rnacentral:rRNA from 1 species
AAUAAGUUAAUUAAGAGCGUAAGGUGGAUGCCUUGGCUCUCAGAGGCGAUGAAGGACGUGAUAAGCUGCGAUAAGCUACGGGGAUUGGCACACACAAUUUGAUCCGUAGAUUUCCGAAUGGGGAAACCCACUAUAUUGAAGAUAUAGUAUCCGUUAAGGAAGCAAACCCAGGGAACUGAAACAUCUAAGUACCUGGAGGAAUAGAAAACAAAAGUGAUUCCGCUAGUAGUGGCGAGCGAACGCGGAACAGCCCAAACCAAAAUUGUUUCGGCAAUUUUGGGGUUGUAGGACCACGAUAUUGAAUGUUUAAUGAAUUAGAAUUCUUUG